rnacentral:rRNA from 1 species
UACAUUGCAAGUCGAGCGAACAGAUGAGAAGCUUGCUUCUCUGAUGUUAGCGGCGCGACGGGUGAGUAACACGUGGGUAACCUACCUAUAAGACUGGGAUAACUCCGGGAAACCGGGGCUAAUACCGGAUAAUAUUUUGAACCGCAUGGUUCAAUAGUGAAAGACGGUUUCGGCUGUCACUUAUAGAUGGACCCGCGCCGUAUUAGCUAGUUGGUGAGGUAACGGCUUACCAAGGCGACGAUACGUAGCCGACCUGAGAGGGUGAUCGGCCACACUGGAACUGAGACACGGUCCAGACUCCUACGGGAGGCAGCAGUAGGGAAUCUUCCGCAAUGGGCGAAAGCCUGACGGAGCAACGCCGCGUGAGUGAUGAAGGUCUUCGGAUCGUAAAACUCUGUUGUUAGGGAAGAACAAAUUUGUUAGUAACUGAACGAGUCUUGACGGUACCUAACCAGAAAGCCACGGCUAACUACGUGCCAGCAGCCGCGGUAAUACGUAGGUGGCAAGCGUUAUCCGGAAUUAUUGGGCGUAAAGCGCGCGUAGGCGGUUUCUUAAGUCUGAUGUGAAAGCCCACGGCUCAACCGUGGAGGGUCAUUGGAAACUGGGAGACUUGAGUGCAGAAGAGGAGAGUGGAAUUCCAUGUGUAGCGGUGAAAUGCGCAGAGAUAUGGAGGAACACCAGUGGCGAAGGCGACUCUCUGGUCUGUAACUGACGCUGAUGUGCGAAAGCGUGGGGAUCAAACAGGAUUAGAUACCCUGGUAGUCCACGCCGUAAACGAUGAGUGCUAAGUGUUAGGGGGUUUCCGCCCCUUAGUGCUGCAGCUAACGCAUUAAGCACUCCGCCUGGGGAGUACGACCGCAAGGUUGAAAC